UUCUUCUCAAAACUAAUUUUUGGGAAACAAGUUUUUCUUUCUUCCUUUACUUGCUAUUCCACUAUUUUCUUCCCCUUGUUCUACUGAUUUUCAAGACGGUGCGAGGAAGAAUUUUUGUUUCAAAGCACAUCAACUUACGAGAUUGAUUAAAUACUAGGCUUGAUUCAAGAGUACGAAAGGAGGUUGCAACAGUAAGCCAGACAGAGCUUAAGGCAGGCAGGCCUCUAGCGCGUCAAAAAUGCCUCCGAGGGUCCUUAAGCUAAAAGGUGUUGCUGCAGCGAGAAAUGGUAAAGCCAAAAAUCUUGCUGUUGCAAAAAUGAUGAAAGCAAGUUGUGAGCAAUUUGCAGAAUCCGUACGAAGCAUCGCUGGUGUUAUUGGGAACCAGAACCAGUCGCGGCCCAAUAAUGUUAUGGACUUGAAAGAAUUCAGGUAAGUGGUUGGUGAGAGAGCGUUUCAUGGUACUGAAGAACCCGUAGAAUCUGAAAAGUGGUUGAAGGGUAUCAAGAAGGAGUUUGAUGCACAUUUAGUGGUUGAGGAGGAUAGAGUAUGUUUUGCUACAUAUAUGUUUCAGCAUAAUGCAGAUGAUUGGUGGGAAUCUGAAAAGAGAAUGGGAGACGAAACAAGUAUGUCAUGGGCGCAGUUCGAAAAGUUGUUUCUUGACAAGUAUUUCCCCCCCACUAUCCGAUCCCUGAAGUGUGCUGAGUUUGCUACCUUGAAGCAGGGGACCAUGACAGUUACUCAGUUAGACAAGAAAUUUAAUGAACUCCAACGUUAUGGAAAACAUCUUGUCGAGACCUCGGAAUUGAAAGCUCGCAAACUAGAAGAUGCAUUGAAGCCAGGAAUCCGCGCCCAAGUUGUUCCUCUACAACACCCAAUUUAUAAGAAGGUUUUGGGAGCCGCAUUAGCUAUUGAAGCUAACUGGAUAAAAGCACAAGAACAAAGAUAACUGGGAAGAAGGUCAGCCGAGUAAGAAGAAGAAUAACAACGAUUCGUCCCCUCAACGGAAACGUCCACGUUUUGAUCCUUCUCGUUCUGGGCAUACCACCGACAAGAACAAAGGAAAAGGUUGCUUUCGAUGUGGAGAUGAUCAUCUUAUCAAAGAUUGUCCCAUUCCACCACCGCCGAUGCCACAAAACGUGAAUCAACCUCAACAGCCAAAUGUACAGAAAUCAAAUUUUUAUGCGAGACAACCUUGCCAGCCACGUACCAAUGCGCCACCCUUCCAACAGAGACAACUGAACGUUCAAGGAAAGCUAAAUCAUGUGGCAGAGGUUAAGGGCGAAGCAGAAAAUGCCAUUAUAGAGGAGUACGAAAGGAGCUUGCAACAGUAAGCCAGACAGAGCUUACGGCAGGCAGGCCUCUAGCGCGUCAAAAGUUAGUAUUUUGUUGUUCAUAGUAUGUAUAUCACGGGGAUGGGUCUGGGGUAGUUCUAGUAUCGGCUUCGACCCAUUUUUUGUCGUAUUUUGACGUGUAAAUAAAGGGAAAUGCUGAAGUCUUAUUUUGUUGUAUGAUAAGCUGCCUUCUGAAUUUGGAUCUAGAUAUAUACAUUACUGUCUGUAACUAUUUCUAUUUAUGAAUUUCUCUUGCAUGUUCAA